rnacentral:lncRNA from 1 species
UCAAAAUCUGUUCCACUACCGAGAGCACAGACACCAGCAGGUGUGGCUGUUUGAAUCCUCCCUGCUCUGCAUGGCUUUUCUGAACCUCGGAUCCUUCGCCUUAAACUCAGGGGUUAAAACCCUAAGAAUUAAACGAAAUAAAGUAUCUAAAGUGACUAAGCACAGAGCCUGGCCUAGAGGGUUGAGUUUCCCCCUCCUCCCGGGUAAGAGAAGCGGUGAUGAAGCCAGGUGGAGCCCGAGGGCCUGUCUCCGAGGCGGUGCAGGCAGCAGUCUGUGACUCACCUUGAAUUCCUUCCUGCGUGAGACCCAAGAACUCUCUUUUGGUAUCUGGAUCAAGACUCCUUUUCCGGUAAUGAAUCCAGGAGGCAAAAAAUAAGGACAUUUAGGAAUUGAGCAAUUCAGUAAAUAAACAUUUGUGUGCGUGUGAGCACCCACGUGCAUACAUACACUUAUGUGUAGAGGAUCUAGAAAAAUCUUUAUAUCCUUUGAAUAGAGAAGAUACACAUUUCCCCCCAUAUGAUCAUGGUACAUUUAAAAUAGUUGAUCCCAUAUUAGGCCACAAAGAAAUUCUUUUUCUUUUCUUCCCCUGGAGAUAGGGUCUCCCUCUGUCACCCAAGCUGGAGUGCAGUGUCACAUAGCUCACUGUAACUUCAAACUCCUGGGCGCAAGCAGUUCUCCCGCCUCAGCCUCCUGAGUAGCUAGGACUAUAGGUGCAUGGCACCAUGUCCACCUAAUUUCAAUUUUUAAAUUUUUUGUCGAGAUGAGGUCUCACUGUGUUACCCAAACUGGUCUCAAACUCCUAGCCUGAAGUGAUUCCGAUCCCCCCCCAACCCCACCAGCCUCCCAAAGUGUUGGGAUUACAGGUAUGAGCCACCACACCUAGCCUAAGCAAUUCUUGAUACAUUAAAAAAUAGAAGAGGUAUACCAUAGGCCAUGAUAUGGUUUGGAUCUGUGUCCCCACCCAAAUCUCAUGUUGAAUUGUAAUCCCCAGUGUUGGCAGUAGGGCCUGGUGGGAGGUGGUUGGACAUGGGGGCAGUUUCUCAUGAAUGGUUUAGCACCAUUCCUCUAGUGCUGUUCUGCUGAUAGAGUUAUCAUGAGAUCUGGUUGUUUAAAAGUGUAUAACACCUCCCACCCUGCUCCUGCUCCAGCCGUGUAAGAUGUGCCUGUGUCUCCUUUGCCUUCUGACAUGAUUGAAAGUCUCCUGAGGCCUCCCAAGAAGCUGAACAGGUGCCAGCAUCAUGUUUCCUGUAUAGCCUGCAGAACUGGGAGCCAGUGAAGCCUCUUUUCUUUAUAAAUUACCCAGUCUCAUGUAGUUCUUUUUUUUUUUUUUUUUUAGAUGGAGUUUUCAUUCUUGUUACCCAGGCUGGAGUGUAAUGGCACGAUCUCAGCUCACUGCAACCUCUGCCUCCCGGGUUCAAGUGAUUCUCCUGCCUCAGCCUCCCGAAUAGCUAGGCUUACAGGGGCAUGCCACCAGGCCGGCUAAUUUUUUUUUUUUUUUUUUUUGUAUUUUUAGUAGAGACAGGGUUUCACCCAUGUUGGCCAGGCUGGUCUCGAACUCCUGACUUCAGGUGAUCUGCCCACUUCAGCCUCCCAAAGUGCUGGGAUUACAGGCGUGAGCCACCACUCCUGACCAUCAGGUAGUCCUUUAUAGCGGUGUGAGAAUGGACUAAUAUAGGCCACAGUAUUUGAGCAUAAUUAAAAUUAUAAAUUAAUAAUUUAAAAAGUAUCUAAAAGUCUUGACCACUUGGACGUGAAGAAUUAUGCUGCCAGAUAACUUUUGGAUUGUUAAAGAAAUCAAUGCUAAACUUACACUCUUAGCAAUGUAAAGUCUAACAUUUUAUAUAAGAAUCUGUAGGAUAUAGCAAAAGUUAUUUUCAGAAUAAAAUAGAUUGAUUUAAAUAGCUUUCAUUGUACAGACAAGAGACUAAAGAUAAACUCAUCUUAAGAACUUAGACAAAAUAUAUAAAAAAUAAAGAGAAAAUUAACCAAGAGAAAUUAGGAGAAGGGAAGUUACAAAAUUAAGACUGAAAUUAACAAAAUAGAAAGCAAAAACUAUGUAUCAAAAGGUUAUAUAGGCUGGUUGCAGUGGCUCAUGCCUGUAAUCCUAGCACUUUGGGAGGCCAAGGCAGGCAGAUCACGAGGUCAGGAAUCGGGACACUGGUCCAACUUAACGUGUGGUGAACCCUACUAAAAUGCUGAAAAUGAAUGGGCUG